rnacentral:rRNA from 1 species
UACGUAGGCAGCAAGCGUUGUUCGGAGUUACUGGGCGUAAAGAGCGCGCAGGCGGUCGAUCAAGUCGAGUGUGAAAGCCCCCCGGCUCAACUGGGGAGGGUCAUUCGAUACUGAUCGACUCGAAGGCAGGAGAGGGUAGUGGAAUUCCCGGUGUAGUGGUGAAAUGCGUAGAUAUCGGGAGGAACACCAGUGGCGAAGGCGACUACCUGGCCUGUUCUUGACGCUGAGGCGCGAAAGCUAGGGGAGCAAACGGG